UUUUGUUGUCGAUUGAUUUGACUCUGUCUCCUCCCACUCCCAGGAAGGAUCAGAUACAGAUUCUCUCGUCCUGGUGGUUUGGGCAUAGAUCGGAUUUGCCUUCUACGACGGCUAGUGAAAUCAUAAAGAGUGUGCUCCCCUUGGGCAUGAAGCCAUUGGAUCAGGGCAUCCAAUCAAAGGCGAAAGGUAUUCAUUCGGAGUUCUUCCCCGGCAAAGCAAAGUCCCGUCGAGUUAGCUGUUGGAGUAAAGGCAUGCCUUAAGGUAGCGAGUGACUUUCAGGUGAGAUGGUUAAAUAGUCGAUUAGAUAAAGGCUGUUGCUACUUCCCCCGAAGGGAUAAAACUAAAGCAAGCUACCUUCACGCUAGG
rnacentral:lncRNA from 1 species